GUAUAAAAAGCGAAAAUUUGCGUUCGGUUUCGGCCCGUGUUUUGGGGAUAAUAUUAUCUUCUUUAUACU
rnacentral:tRNA from 1 species